UACGGGGGGGGGUAAGCGUUGUUCGGAAUUACUGGGCGUAAAGGGCUCGUAGGCGGCCAACUAAGUCGGACGUGAAAUCCCUCAGCUUAACUGGGGAACUGCGUCCGAUACUGGAUGGCUUGGAUUUGGGGAGAGGGAUGCGGAAUUCCAGGUGUAGCGGUGAAAUGCGUAGAUAUCUGGAGGAACACCGGUGGCGAAGGCGGCAUCCUGGACCGAGAUUGACGCUGAGGCGCGAAAAGCCCAGGGGAGCAAACGGGG
rnacentral:rRNA from 1 species